CAGGGUAAAGCUGAUCUGCCCUGGGUAAGUCGGGGCCUAAGGUGAGGACGAGAGUCGUAGCCGAUGGACAACAGGUGGAGAUUCCUGUACUAUGAUAUGACAGAACUGUGGGGACACGUGCAGAGAGCGGAAGCCGGGAAUGGGAUCCCGGUGCAAGCGAGGUACCAGCCGCAUUGGAAAAACCGUGCGGCAAUGGGAAGACGUGAUGCAGAGUGAAGUUUAGUAAUGAGGUCCGUGAGCUGUGCGUCAAGAAAAGCCGCUAUUGUUCAUACCAUACCCGUACCGUAAACCGACACAGGUGGAUGAGGAGAGAAUCCUAAGGCCGGCGGAAGAAGCAUUGUCAAGGAACUCGGCAAAAUGACCCCGUAACUUCGGGAGAAGGGGUGCCUGCGAGAGCAGGCCGCAGAGAAUAGGCUCAAGCAACUGUUUAGCAAAAACACAGGUCUAUGCGAAACCGAAAGGUGAGGUAUAUGGGCUGACGCCUGCCCGGUGCUGGAAGGUUAAGAGGAGAGGUUAGCGGUAACGCGAAGCUUUGAAUUUAAGCCCCAGUAAACGGCGGCCGUAACAAUAACGGUCCUAAGGUAGCGAAAUUCCUUGUCGGGUAAGUUCCGACCCGCACGAAAGGCGUAAUGAUUUGAGCGCUGUCUCGACAAUGCAUCCGGUGAAAUUGAAGUACCAGUGAAGAUGCUGGUUACCUGCGCCAGGACGGAAAGACCCCAUGGAGCUUUACUCCAGAUUGGUACUGGGAUCCGGUACUGCAUGUACAGGAUAGGUGGGAGGCUAUGAAUCGGUAACGCCAGUUGCCGAGGAGCCGCUGUUGGGAUACCACCCUUGCAGUAUUGGGUUUCUAACCAGCCGCCGUGACCCGGCGGUGGGACAAUGCCAGACGGGGAGUUUGACUGGGGCGGUCGCCUCCGAAAGGGUAUCGGAGGCGCCCAAAGGUUCCCUCAGGAUGGACGGAAACCAUCCAAAGAGUGCAAAGGCAGAAGGGAGCUUGACUGCGACACCGACGGGUGGAGCAGGUACGAAAGUAGGGCUUAGUGAUCCGGUGGUAUUAAGUGGGAAUGCCAUCGCUCAACGGAUAAAAGCUACCCUGGGGAUAACAGGCUUAUCACUCCCAAGAGUUCACAUCGACGGAGUGGUUUGGCACCUCGAUGUCGGCUCAUCGCAUCCUGGGGCUGUAGUAGGUCCCAAGGGUUGGGCUGUUCGCCCAUUAAAGCGGUACGCGAGCUGGGUUCAGAACGUCGUGAGACAGUUCGGUCCCUAUCCGGCGUGGGCGUAGGAUAUCUGAGAGGAGCUGUCCUUAGUACGAGAGGACCGGGAUGGACGGGCCGCUGGUGCACCGGUUAGACUGCCAAGUCUAUAGCCGGGUAGCCAAGCCCGGAAGGGAUAAACGCUGAAGGCAUCUAAGCGUGAAGCCCCCCUCAAGAUGAGAUAUCCCAUCCGAAAGGAGUAAACCCCCUUGAAGACGACGAGGUUGAUAGGGCAGAGGUGGAAGUGUGGUAACACAUGGAGCUGACUGCUACUAAUAGGGUGAGGGCUUGACC
rnacentral:rRNA from 1 species